rnacentral:rRNA from 1 species
GACAGAGGGUGCAAACGUUGUUCGGAAUUACUGGGCGUAAAGCGCGUGUAGGCUGCUUCGAAAGUCGGAUGUGAAAGCCCUGGGCUCAACCUAGGAAGUGCAUUCGAAACUUCGAAGCUUGAGUUCUGGAGAGGAAGGCGGAAAUCUCGGUGUAGAGGUGAAAUUCGUAGAUAUCGAGAGGAACACCGGUGGCGAAGGCGGCCUUCUGGACAGUGACUGACGCUGAGACGCGAAAGCGUGGGGAGCAAACAGG